UACGUAGGGGCAAGCGUUAUCCGGAUUUACUGGGUGUAAAGGGAGCGCAGACGGCAUCGCAAGUCUGAUGUGAAAGCCCGGGGCUCAACCCCGGAACUGCAUUGGAAACUGCGGAGCUUGAGUGUCGGAGGGGUAAGCGGAAUUCCUAGUGUAGCGGUGAAAUGCGUAGAUAUUAGGAGGAACACCGGUGGCGAAGGCGGCUUACUGGACGACUACUGACGUUGAGGCUCGAAAGCGUGGGGAGGCAAACAGGAUUAGAUACCCUGGUAGUCCCUGA
rnacentral:rRNA from 1 species